rnacentral:rRNA from 1 species
AUUGAACGCUGGCGGCAUGCCUUACACAUGCAAGUCGAACGGCAGCACGGGGGCAACCCUGGUGGCGAGUGGCGAACGGGUGAGUAACACAUCGGAACGUGCCCAGUAGUGGGGGAUAGCUCGGCGAAAGCCGGAUUAAUACCGCAUACGACCUACGGGUGAAAGCGGGGGAUCGCAAGACCUCGCGCUAUUGGAGCGGCCGAUGUCAGAUUAGGUUGUUGGUGGGGAAAGGCCUACCAAGCCGACGAUCUGUAGCUGGUCUGAGAGGACGACCAGCCACACUGGGACUGAGACACGGCCCAGACUCCUACGGGAGGCAGCAGUGGGGAAUUUUGGACAAUGGGCGCAAGCCUGAUCCAGCCAUGCCGCGUGCGGGAAGAAGGCC